AGCUACACAUGCUACCCCUGAGAUACCAGUGAUCCUGCCCCCUGCCUGAUCCAUCCUGAUGCCCUACUUCUGGUUGGAGUUCUCAUCACUUGGAAACCACUCGCUGCUGCUGAGGAUAACCCCAUAUAGACAGCCUAAAGAUACAUGAGAUUACUGUGGAUGGUACCACUUAGAAACCAUGAAGAUGGCUUUGGACUGCAAUUGAUACAAACAGUUUUGCUAUUGUAGGGUACUGCUGAAAGUGAAUAUAGCAAAUUUGCUAUUUUCAGUGUUUUUUCUAAUAAUUGUGUUUUUAUAGUUUUAUAUAAAUGAGAAUUAAUAUUAUUGUGUUCUUUUUGUAAAAUGGUUAUUGUUUAAAAUAUUGUAAUUAAUAAUUAAUGGCUUUAUUUUGUUUUGCUACGCUAUUGGACAAAAAAAGGAGAGAUUAUGGGAACUGAUUGGGUUUUCCCAUGGGGGAGUAUUCAAUAAGGAACUGAUUGACAGGUCUUAUGACAAAUCGAAAUUUUGGAAGGAAGAGCAAGGAGAGCGCGGGAAUACGGGAAAAAAAGAGAGAAGACGGUGAGCAAGCGCCAUGUUGGACCCAGUUUAGCGCGCUUUGAUAAACUUUGGUGGAGACUAACUACGUAAGUACUGGCCCACAAAGUUUAGAGCCGUUAACCCAGCAGGAGUGUGUGUACGGUAUUCUAAAACAACAACAACAACAACAACAAAAAAAAACAGCAGAGUAAUGUGAAGGAAAAAAGAGGCGAACACCGAGUAAAGAGCAGAGCUGUGGACAAUUGCCGCUCCAGACGCCAUUUUCAUGCUCGUCGGCUGUUAGGUCUACGGACACCUGUUGAUUCACCACCGGAUGGAUGCUGAGUGGACAACUGAACGGCGCGGGGGAAGAGAAGAGCCAAAGCAGGUUUCUUCUCAAAGUUCCAACAGUGACUACAUAUUGGAGUACGGGGCCGAAAGCAGUCAGUUAUGUAACAUAAAGAACACAAAUGUCUUGGGUUCCUUUGAAGAAUGCAGCUGAUGCUGAAAGCUGAAAGCACACAGCAGCUGCAGCAGGCAAAGCAGAGAGGAACAGGAGCUAAUAGACAGAGACAGAUUGGGGUCGGGAAGUCUCUUCUACAGAACCCAUGCAGAAUUCUCAAACAUGCUGAAGGUAAGGGGAGGCCAAGCUAAUUAACACAUUGUUUGCUCAUUAGGAACAAAAGAGAGCUUGCCAGAUGU